CAGUCGCCGCGGUAAUACGUAGGGUGCAAGCGUUAAUCGGAAUUACUGGGCGUAAAGCGUGCGCAGGCGGUUAUAUAAGUCAGAUGUGAAAUCCCCGGGCUCAACCUGGGAACUGCAUUUGAGACUGUAUGGCUAGAGUGUGUCAGAGGGGGGUAGAAGUCCACGUGUAGCAGUGAAAUGCGUAGAUAUGUGGAGGAAUACCGAUGGCGAAGGCAGCCCCCUGGGAUAACACUGACGCUCAUGCACGAAAGCGUGGGGAGCAGACAGGAUUAGAUACCCCCGUAGUCCCUGUCUCUUAUAC
rnacentral:rRNA from 1 species